GAUGAACGCUGGCGGCGUGCCUAAUACAUGCAAGUCGAGCGAACGGACGAGAAGCUUGCUUCUCUGAUGUUAGCGGCGGACGGGUGAGUAACACGUGGAUAACCUACCUAUAAGACUGGGAUAACUUCGGGAAACCGGAGCUAAUACCGGAUGAUAUUUUGAACCGCAUGGUUCAAAAGUGAAAGACGGUCUUGCUGGCACUUAUAGAUGGAUCCGCGCUGCAUUAGCUAGUUGGUAAGGUAACGGCUUACCAAGGCAACGAUGCAUAGCCGACCUGAGAGGGUGAUCGGCCACACUGGAACUGAGACGCGGUCCAGACUCCUACGGGAGGCAGCAGUAGGGAAUCUUCCGCAAUGGGCGAAAGCCUGACGGAGCAACGCCGCGUGAGUGAUGAAGGUCUUCGGAUCGUAAAACUCUGUUAUUAGGGAAGAACAUAUGUGUAAGUAACUGUGCACAUCUUGACGGUACCUAAUCAGAAAGCCACGGCUAACUACGUG
rnacentral:rRNA from 1 species